rnacentral:lncRNA from 1 species
CUCCUAACCGGUUGAUCAGAUGUUCCUAUAUAAAAUUUAUUAGAUACUUAUCCUUGGGUGUUUGGUCUGAUGAUGUUAAAAUUUUGUGACAAUUCUUGUAAAGGAAGCAAUAUUGUUUCUUUACGUAUCCUUUGUUUUAUAUCCUCAUCUAGAUCAUGCAUUUGCCCAUUGGGAAGAUAUAUGAACAUCUGGAGGUUGGUAGGAAAUUUGUGAGGGGAAAUAAUAGCAGAUUUUUGAACUCAAUCAUGCUGGUUAAAGAAGAGAUAUAUUUAGUAAUAGAUAUUUCUGGUACAUUGGUGGAUGUAUAUUGUGAC